rnacentral:rRNA from 1 species
GACUUGACCGAAUGGUCCACCUUUGGUGAGUACUGUUUGUGUCGAGUCUAUCCUUCUGGUGAGCUGGUAUGCCCUUUAUUGGGUGUGUCAGGGAACCAGGACCAUUACCUUGAAAAAAUUAGAGUGUUUAAAGCGGGCAUAAGCUUGAAUAGAUUAGCAUGGAAUAAUAGAAUAGGACGUUGUGGUUCUAUUUUGUUGGUUUCUAGGACCACCGUA